AUUGAACGCUGGCGGCGUGCCUAACACAUGCAAGUCGAGCGGUAACAGGCGUAGCAAUACGUGCUGACGAGCGGCGGACGGGUGAGUAAUGCUUGGGAAUCUUCCCGGUAGUGGGGAACAACCAACCGAAAGGUUGGCUAAUACCGCAUACGUUCUACGGAAGAAAGCGGGGGACCGUAAGGCCUCGCGCUAUCGGAUGAGCCCAAGUCGGAUUAGCUAGUUGGCGGGGUAAUGGCCCACCAAGGCGACAAUCCGUAGCUGGUCUGAGAGGACGACCAGCCACACUGGGACUGAGACACGGCCCAGACUCCUACGGGAGGCAGCAGUGGGGAAUAUUGGACAAUGGGGGCAACCCUGAUCCAGCGACGCCGCGUGUGUGAAGAAGGCCUGCGGGUUGUAAAGCACUUUUAGUGGGGAGUGAAAAGCACCGGGCUAAUACCCAGGUGUCUUGACCUAACCUACAG
rnacentral:rRNA from 1 species